AGAGUUUGAUUCUGGCUCAGAACGAACGCAGGUAGCGUGGAUUAGGCAUGCAAGUCGAACGCGAAUCGGGAUGCCCGCAAGGGUGUCUCGAAGAGAGUGGCGGAAGGGUGAGGAACACAUGGGCAAUCUGCCUUUAAGUUGGGGAUAACCUGCCGAAAGGUGGGCUAAUACCGAAUGUGAUGGUUCUCCGCAUGGAGAAUUGAUUAAAGAUGGGGAUCUUUGACCUGUCGCUUGAAGAGGAGCCCGCGUCCUAUCAGCUUGUUGGUGAGGUAACGGCCCACCAAGGCUUACGGGUAACUGGUCUGAGAGGAUGGUCAGUCACACUGGGACUGAGACACUGCCCAGACUCCUACGGGAGGCUGCAGUCGAGGAUCAUUCGCAAUGCGCGAAAGCGUGACGAUGCGACGCUGCGUGGAGGAUGAAGGCCUUCGGGUUGUAAACUCCUGUCAUUCGGGAACAAUGGCAAGGGAACUAAUACUUCCUUUGAGUGAUAGUACCGGAAGAGGAAGCCACGGCUAACUCUGUGCCAGCAGCCGCGGUAAUACAGAGGUGGCGAGCGUUGCUCGGAUUUACUGGGCGUAAAGGGUGCGUAGGUGGUAUUGUGUGUCGGAUGUGAAAUCUCACUGCUCAACGGUGAAACUGCAUUCGAAACUGCAAUUCUGGAGUACAUGAGAGGAGAGCGGAAUUCUUGGUGUAGCGGUGGAAUGCGUUGAUAUCAAGAAGAACACCGGUGGCGCAGGCGGCUCUCUGGAAUGUUACUGACACUGAGGCACGAAAGUUGGGGGAGCAAACAGGAUUAGAUACCCUGGUAGUCCCAACCUUAAACGGUGUACACUUGGUGUGGGGAGAUUGACCCUCUCCGUGCCGGAGCUAACGCGUCAAGUGUACCGCCUGGGGAGUACGGUCGCAAGAUUAAAACUCAAAGAAAUUGACGGGGGCCCGCACAAGCGGAGGAGCAUGUGGCUUAAUUCGAUGCAACGCGAAGAACCUUACCAGGACUUGACAUGCAACUGCAAACCCUAAGAAAUUAGGGCUCCUUCGAGUGUGUUGCACAGGUGCUGCAUGGCUGUCGUCAGUUCGUGCCGUGAGGUGUUGGGUUAAGUCCCGCAACGAACGCAACCCCUGUGGCUAGUUGCUAAUGUUGAUAAUGAAUCAAUGUGCACUCUAGUCAGACUGCCCGUGAUAAGCGGGAGGAAGGUGGGGAUGACGUCAAGUCAGUAUGGCCCUUACGUCCUGGGCUGCACACGUGCUACAAUGGUCGGUACAGAGGGAAGCUAAGCUGCAAAGUGGAGCAAAUCCCAUAAACCCGGCCUCAGUUCGGAUUGAAGUCUGCAACUCGACUUCAUGAAGUCGGAUUCGCUAGUAAUGGCGCAUCAGCUAGGGCGCCGUGAAUACGUUCCCGGGCCUUGUACACACCGCCCGUCACAUCAUGAAAGCCGUCUGCACCCGAAGUCGCUGAACCAACCCGCAAGGGAGGAAGGUG
rnacentral:rRNA from 1 species